GGCAUCGUGGUGUAGUUGGUUAACGCGUCGGUGUACAUUGCCGAUGUCGCAGGUUCGAAAACUGGCGGCACCA
rnacentral:tRNA from 1 species